CUCACUUUUAGGAUAUUUUCUUUCCUCUCUGUAGUUGACUGUUCUGGUGCCAACCCAUGUCUGAACGGAGGUACCUGUGAUACCGAUGCAUGUACAUGUGCUGCGGGAUUCAAUGGAGCUUUGUGUAAUAUAGUUGACUGUUCUGGUGCCAACCCAUGUCUGAACGGAGGUACCUGUGAUACCGAUGCAUGUACAUGUGCUGCGGGAUUCAAUGGAGCUUUGUGUAAUAUAGUUGACUGUUCUGGUGCCAACCCAUGUCUGAACGGAGGUACCUGUGAUACCGAUGCAUGUACAUGUGCUGCGGGAUUCA